rnacentral:rRNA from 1 species
AAUAGAUACCCUGGUAGUCCACGCCGUAAACGAUGAGUGCUAAGUGUUAGGGGGUUUCCGCCCCUUAGUGCUGCAGCUAACGCAUUAAGCACUCCGCCUGGGGAGUACGGUCGCAAGACUGAAACUCAAAGGAAUUGACGGGGGCCCGCACAAGCGGUGGAGCAUGUGGUUUAAUUCGAAGCAACGCGAAGAACCUUACCAGGUCUUGACAUCCCGCUGACCGCUAUGGAGACAUAGCUUUCCCUUCGGGGACAGCGGUGACAGGUGGUGCAUGGUUGUCGUCAGCUCGUGUCGUGAGAUGUUGGGUUAAGUCCCGCAACGAGCGCAACCCUUGUCCUUAGUUGCCAUCAUUCAGUUGGGCACUCUAAGGAGACUGCCGUACAAAUACGGAGGAAGGUGGGGAUGACGUCAAAUCAUCAUGCCCCUUAUGACCUGGGCUACACACGUGCUACAAUGGACGGUACAAACGGUUGCGAAGUCGCGAGACGGAGCCAAUCCGAGAAAGCCGUUCUCAGUUCGGAUUGCAGG